rnacentral:rRNA from 1 species
CACGUAGGGUGCGAGCGUUGUCCGGAAUUAUUGGGCGUAAAGAGCUCGUAGGCGGUGUGUCGCGUCGGCCGUGAAAACCUGCAGCUUAACUGUGGGCUUGCGGUCGAUACGGGCAUCACUGGAGUUCGGCAGGGGAGACUGGAAUUCCUGGUGUAGCGGUGAAAUGCGCAGAUAUCAGGAGGAACACCGGUGGCGAAGGCGGGUCUCUGGGCCGUAACUGACGCUGAGGAGCGAAAGCAUGGGGAGCGAACGGG